rnacentral:rRNA from 1 species
UACGUAGGGGGCUAGCGUUGUCCGGAAUCAUUGGGCGUAAAGGGCGUGUAGGCGGUCGAGUAAGUGGAAUGUGAAAUGCUCCGGCUCACCCGGAGUACUGCAUCCCAAACUGCUCGGCUUGAGUAUGGGAGAGGAUGAGGGAAUUCCUGGUGUAGCGGUGAAAUGCGUAGAUAUCAGGAGGAACACCGGUGGCGAAGGCGCUCAUCUGGCCCAAUACUGACGCUGAGGCGCGAAAGCUAGGGGAGCAAACGGG